rnacentral:lncRNA from 1 species
GACGCCGACCGCCGCCACCCGCCGCCACACCGGGGAGAUUUUCGACCGCCGAUCGAGGUAAAUUUCAUACCGCCGACUCAUUUUUCCACGCUGAUUUCCCCUGUGGCCAAAUCGGAGCCAAAACCCCGGCCAAACGGCCGGAAAACACGGCCGAAACCCAGCGGCGCCGCCGCGCCCCUCCUCGGUUUUUGCCUCCGAUGAGGCCUUUCCCGACCUCCGUUUGAUGCAAUUUUUAUAUCACCGUGAUCACCAUUCUUUUCUCUACAGGUUGAUCGGAGCCGAAUCACCAAAACACGAACCUCACCAGAGAGCCGCCGCACCUGAGAGCACCACCGCCGGUAAGCUUCGAUUUUUCGUAAUUUUUUGGCCCCCCGAGGGCCCUAGGGUU